CUCUUAUCGAGAGAGGUGGAGGGAUGUGCCCUAUGAAGCCCGGCAACCGUCUGAUAUAGAAAUGGUGCCAAUUCACAUAAAGUUCAACUUUAGAAGAUGAGAG
rnacentral:ncRNA from 16 species